rnacentral:tRNA from 1 species
GCCCUGUUAGCUCAGUUGGGAGAGCGCCAGACUGAAGAUCUGGAUGUCGCUGGUUCAAAUCCGGCACAGGGCA